UACGUAGGGGCAAGCGUUGUCCGGAAUCAUUGGGCGUAAAGAGCGUGUAGGCGGCCAGAUAAGUCCGCUGUGAAAUCUCGAGGCUCAACUUCGAGCUGUCGGUGGAACUGUCUGGCUAGAGUCCGGAAGAGGAGAAUGGAAUCCUGGUGUAGCGGUGAAAUGCGCAGAUAUCAGGAAGAACACCCGUGGCGAAGGCGGUUCUCCUGGGACGGUACUGACGCUGAGACGCGAAAGCGUGGGGAGCGAACGG
rnacentral:rRNA from 1 species